GUGCCAGCAGCCGCGGUAAGACGAACCGAGCGAACGUUGUUCGGAAUCACUGGGCUUAAAGGGCGCGUAGGCGGGCUGCCAAGUCUGGGGUGAAAUCCCGCGGCUCAACCGUGGAACUGCCUCAGAUACUGGCGGCCUCGAGGGAGAUAGGGGCGAGCGGAACUAAUGGUGGAGCGGUGAAAUGCGUUGAUAUCAUUAGGAACUCCGGUGGCGAAGGCGGCUCGCUGGAUCUUUUCUGACGCUGAGGCGCGAAAGCUAGGGGAGCAAACGGGAUUAGAUACCCCUGUAGUCC
rnacentral:rRNA from 1 species